rnacentral:rRNA from 1 species
CAGUAGCCGCGGUAAUACAGAGGGUGCGAGCGUUAAUCGGAUUUACUGGGCGUAAAGCGUGCGUAGGCGGCUUCUUAAGUCGGAUGUGAAAUCCCUGAGCUUAACUUAGGAAUUGCAUUCGAUACUGGGAAGCUAGAGUAUGGGAGAGGAUGGUAGAAUUCCAGGUGUAGCGGUGAAAUGCGUAGAGAUCUGGAGGAAUACCGAUGACGAAGGCAGCCAUCUGGCCUAAUACUGACGCUGAGGUACGAAAGCAUGGGGAGCAAACAGGAUUAGAUACCCCAGUAGUCCCUGUCUCCUAUAC